UGCCCUCGUGGCGGAAUGGUAUACGCAGCAGCUUGAGGGGCUGUGCCGAGAGGCGUGGUGGUUCGAGUCCACUCGAGGGCAUCCA
rnacentral:tRNA from 2 species